GAUGAACGCUGGCGGCGUGCUUAACACAUGCAAGUCGAACGAAGCACUUAAGAUUGAUUCUUCGGAUGACGUCUUUUGUGACCUAGUGGCGGACGGGUGAGUAACGCGUGGGUAACCUGCCUUACACAGGGGGAUAACAGUUAGAAAUGACUGCUAAUACCGCAUAACCCGAUAGGAUCGCAUGAUCCAGACGGAAAAAGAUUUUAUCGGUGUGAGAUGGACCCGCGUCUGAUUAGCUAGUUGGUGAGGUAACGGCCCACCAAGGCGACGAUCAGUAGCCGGCCUGAGAGGGUGAACGG
rnacentral:rRNA from 1 species